rnacentral:lncRNA from 1 species
GCCAAUCGUGUCCAGCUUGAGUGACCUCAUCUAAUGCCACAGGGAGAGAUCUGCCCAGUCAACAUAGAGAAUGGAGGCUGGAUUGAUGACAUCUGCUUAAAGUUCUUUGAGUCCUUAAUGACAUUCAGUCUGAAAAGGGGAAAGUUGAAGGCAAUUUCAAGAUUCUACCCUCAAAAGGAAGAUCUUCAUGGCUUUACAUGCUGAAGAAAACCAGCUAAAGAUAUUAUCAGAAAAGGAAGAAGUGGGUAGAAGAAUUUAAAACAAAAACCAGAAACCAAACCAAUAACUGGAAGCAGAUUUUCGGUCAAUAUCCCGAUACUACUACCACUACUGCCACCCCACCACCAAUAACAAGAAGGACAACAACAGUCAAGCUUCACUUUUAUCAUGCCAGAAAGGUUCCCAAUGCUUUAUAAUAAAUUAUGUACAAAUGUAGUGGUUUCUCCAUAUAUGUAGA